AGAGUUUGAUUCUGGCUCAGGACGAACGCUGGCGGCGUGCCUAACACAUGCAAGUCGAACGGAGAUUAAGAGGAGCCUAGCUUCAUUUAAUCUUAGUGGCGGACGGGUGAGUAACGCGUGAGCAACCUGCCUUUCAGAGGGGGAUAACGUUUGGAAACGAACGCUAAUACCGCAUAACAUAUCUAUGUGGCAUCGCAGAGAUAUCAAAGGAGCAAUCCGCUGAAAGAUGGGCUCGCGUCCGAUUAGCUAGAUGGUGGGGUAACGGCCUACCAUGGCGACGAUCGGUAGCCGGACUGAGAGGUUGAACGGCCACAUUGGGACUGAGACACGGCCCAG
rnacentral:rRNA from 1 species